ensembl:snRNA U6 U6 spliceosomal RNA
GUGCUUGCUUUGGCAGCACAUAUACUAAAAUUGGAAUGAUACAGAGAAGAUUAGCAUGGCCCAUGCACAAAGAUGACACACAGUUUGUGAAGCAUUCCAUUUUUUU